AGCAUGUGUAAGCUAUGACUCCUAUUGUGAAUCUAAGUUGCGUGUAUGGAUUCUACACGAUGUUGAGAAAGAAGAAUAGUCAAGCAUCAUGACUUGUGUUGUGCCUUGUGACAAGGAGCUAUCUUUGUGCAGUGGAGAGAGUCAUAACAACGAGGUUGUAGUGGUAUCUAGAUGCUUAAAGUCAUCUAAGCACUUUUUUGUUUACUAUUUCGAUAUGGUCAGAGAGAGUAUCAUCAGAAGAAUUGAGGUUGAGAUUGAUGGAAUCGCCGAUUAUGAGUUUAGACAUAUCAAUGGAAUUGGUAAACAUGCUCCUAGGAUUUUGUGUUUCCCUGGUCACAUUGAGAAUCUUAUGUACUUGUAAGUUCUA
rnacentral:sRNA from 1 species